AGAAUCAUUUAUCGUGACUUGAAAGCCAGCAACAUUCUUUUAGAUGCAGAUAUGAUUCCAAAAAUUUCAGAUUUUGGAAUGGCAAAGUUAUUUGAAAUGGAUCAAACUCAAGGCAAUAUAAGAAGAAUUGUGGGGACUCUUGGCUAUAUGGCUCCUUAGUAUGUAAAGCAUGGACACUACUCAGUCAAGACGGAUGUUUUCAGCUUUGGUGUGUUAGUCUUGGAAAUCAUUAGUGGCGAAAAGAACACUAGAUUUGGUAUUGAAGAGGAAGGAGAGAACCUGCUAACUUAUGCAUGGAGAAAUUGGAAGGAAGGGACAGCUUUAAAUAUGAUAGAUCCCAUUUUAAGGGGUCGUUCCAGUUGUGAAAUUAUCAGAUGUAUUCAUAUUGGAUUACUAUGUGUUCAAGAAAAUGAAGCUAAUAGGCCAACC